rnacentral:other from 1 species
AUCGUCUAUAUAAUACUAGUCCAGCUCCGGCCAAGGAUACCCCCAAGCACAGCGAACAGGUUGAGAUCCAGAGAGAGAGGAGACUAGAGAUACAUACUGAGAGAAAAUGCCGCUGACUGGUGAGGUGAAGUGGUUCAACGAGUCCAAGGGAUUCGGCUUCAUCACCCCCGACGACGGCAGCAAGGACGUCUUCGUCCACUUCUCGGCAAUCACUGACAACGCCUUCAAGACCCUCGCCGAGGGCCAGCGUGUCGAAUUCAUCAUCGAAAGCGGCGCAAAAGGCCCAUCCGCCGUCAAAGUCAAGGCCAUAUAGUAUUAGUAGGUGGAGGAGUAUCGGCAUCCUUUUGUAAUUCUCUCCAUCCAUCCACGGAAGGGAGGAGAGG